rnacentral:rRNA from 1 species
CGACCGGCGCACGGGUGAGUAACGCGGUAUGCAACCUGCCCGUUUCAGCGGGAUAACCCGGAGAAAUCCGGCCUAAUACCGCAUGUGGCCGAGGGGAGGCAUCUUCUUUCGGCCAAAGGAGGCAACUCCGGAGACGGAUGGGCAUGCGUGACAUUAGCUUGUUGGCGGGGUAACGGCCCACCAAGGCGACGAUGUCUAGGGGUUCUGAGAGGAAGGUCCCCCACACUGGUACUGAGACACGGACCAGACUCCUACGGGAGGCAGCAG